AAAUUUAGUUAAAAAAAAAGUAUAACUACCUACAUACGUCUAAAAAUUUUAAAAUAUUUUAUAUACUUCUAUAUUUUUUAGGCUUAAAUACAUGCAUGUCCCUACAAAUAUACUGAAUUACAAAUAUAUUUUUAAAAAAAUCAACUUUUAUAUAUUGUCUCUACAAAAGUUCUAAUAUUUUCAAAUAUACCUUCUGGUUUGUUACCAUUAGAGAACUGUUUAUAUUUACAAUUUUGCUAUCACAACAGUAUAAUAUAAAAGGACUAAAAAUGUCAAAUUAUUUUAUAAAUUAAGCAGGGUUAAGUAUUUAACCUAUAGUUAAAUAAAAUUUUCUAACGAAUUCUAACGGUAGGAAUAUAUUUAAAAAUAUUAGGAUUUUUAUAGGGACAACAUAUAAAAGUUGAACUUUGUAAAGAUAUAUAUUUACAAUUCGCUUAAUUUACAGGAACUUGUAUGCAAUUAAUCUUAUUUUUUAUUUCAAAUAUACCAUCGGAUAUAUCUCCGUUAUUCAAAAAAACCUCAUUUUAGUAUCCAUUAAGUCAUCUUGCAUUAAAUUCGGAUUAAAUUUCUAUCAGAGUUAAAAAAAAAAUCACAACACCUCUUUUACUCUUAACUUAAGAAUACAUAAGAAAAGUUGGUGACAGUAUAAGUGUGUAUUUCUAUUAGUUCACUUACAGAAUCUAACUUUAGGGUAUACUUAGAAUAACUUAAAUUAUUAAAAGAAAUUUUUUUAUUAAUUUUCUAAGCGGAGUAAAUAAGAAAGUUUGAAAUAUUUUAGCAAUAAAUAAGCAAUUGCCCCUACAAAAAAAAA
rnacentral:lncRNA from 1 species